UCCGUAGGCGGGCUAAUAAGUCAGGGGUGAAAUCCAACAGCUUAACUGUUGAACUGCCUUUGAUACUGUUAGUCUUGAAUUAUAUGGAAGUAGAUAGAAUGUGUAGUGUAGCGGUGAAAUGCAUAGAUAUUACACAGAAUACCGAUUGCGAUGGCAGUCUACUACGUAUAUACUGACGCUAAUGGACGAAAGCGUGGGGAGCGAACAGGAUUAGAUACCCUGGUAGUCC
rnacentral:rRNA from 1 species